rnacentral:rRNA from 1 species
AGGACGAACGCUGGCGGCGUGCUUAACACAUGCAAGUCGAGCGGAAAGGCCCUUCGGGGUACUCGAGCGGCGAACGGGUGAGUAACACGUGAGUAACCUGCCCUUGGCUCCGGGAUAGCUCCGGGAAACCGGAAUUAAUACCGGAUAUGACUGCGGCCGACAUCGGCUGUGGUGGAAAGAUUUAUCGGCCAGGGAUGGGCUCGCGGCCUAUCAGCUUGUUGGUGGGGUAACGGCCUACCAAGGCGACGACGGGUA